CUUUCAUGGUCCCCUCUUCUGUUUUCUUUGUAGUGUUUGCUUUGUGAUUUAUCUAUUGAUUAUAGGUUUGUAGCCAUUGAAUACGCCUACGAGGUGUUUGUGAAUAUGUUUAUAAGAGAAACUGCAUGCUUACUUCUCUAUGAAAGUGAAUCAACAAAAAUUCAGAAUUUACAAAUGAAAGAUAAAAGAUUCUCAAAUAAAGAUUAGUAAUAAAGAAACAUAUCCCAAUACAAUACCAAGAUGAAAACCAUCAAUUCCUACUGAAUUCACAAGAGCAAGAUGCUUUCGACGUGAACAAACCUUACCUUUCAGUCACCAAAUCAAUAUAUAUAUAUAUAUAUAUGAUUGGUCAUAUAAGAUAGAGAGAAGGAAAUGAAUCUUUUGACCACUUUUAUUUGGCUUUUUUGGUUGAUAUUUUUUUCUUUGUUUAGCUAAAAUCUAAUCUUCUGAAACUACCUCUUUUAGCAUAAUCUAUUCUAUUGAUUUUGGAGAUCUCUCUCCCUCCAUUUGUACACCUCUUUCCCACUCUUUCUCUCUCCAUACACACAUAUAUACAAACAAACACAUGGGUGUGUGUGUGGGACUUGAUUCUUCUUGGUUUAUGAAUGUUUGUAGUUGGUUCUUCAAUAAACGUGGUUUAAAUUUUGGGUUUAUAACAAUUUUGAGUAGAACAUUUGGAAAAUUUAAUUGAAGGUUUGUGGGUUUAGUUGCAAAUUUCUAUGUUGGUAGUUUUAAGGUGAAUUGAACUGACAUAAACAAGGGAAUCAAAUUUGAUUGCUCUGUUUUUGGGUUGGCUAAUAAUGGAAGUACAACUCAUGCCAGUGUAAUGUGUCGUAGGCAUUUUUUCAUGAUGGUGCUGAGGAUCAUCGCUUGCUUCUUUAUGAUUUCAAACUUGUGCUCUUUGAAUUGUCCAUUUGGGAAUCAUAAGUUUCUGUAAGGGUGUUCUCAUAGUGGGAUAAUUCAUACUUUCUUGAUUUUGUUUGUUUGUUGUUUUAUUUCAAUUGAAAUACUAGAAGGAAAACGCUUUUAGAGAUAAGUUUUUUUUUUUUUUGGCUGAAAAUGAUACAUAUUCACUUUGCUGAUAUAGAAUAUGCAAUACAUCCAUGAUGUACUUGGCAUUCUCUAGAUGUUAGCUUUUAUUGGAUCAGUAGUCUAAGCAGUGAACAUCCUCUAUGCCUCACAAUUUUUUAUCCACUUGCGUUUUUUGAACUUCCACACGGCGAUUUGACUUAGAAAUGUAGUUUCUUUUUGCUUGAUUAGCUAAUAUAGUUCUCAUGUAAAGAAUGGAAAUGAUAUAAAUUGGAAAAUUAAUAUGCACUUUAUUUUUCUUUUGAUGGGCUUUACUCAUUUUUUAUUUGAAUUCAUUAAAUAUUGAGCUUAAAGUCCUUACUAUGACCAUUUCCACGUGUGGAUUUCAAGAUGAAGCUGUUAACAGUUGGUGGAAAAAGACUGAAACUUAUGAUUUGGGACAUAGGUGAUUAACAUCAAUGACUUGUUAUUUGGAACUAUUUUGUUUAUUCAAUGUGGAAAAUUUCUCGGAUCCCAAUAGUAUUUCCCCCUUAUACAUGUAACAAAUUUUUUAGUUUUUUCUUAGAUGUUUUUGUUAUAAAUCUCUGACUCAAGGCAGGAAUGUUUCUUUUUUGGUACUGGUUUUCAUUUUCAUUGUAACUUGGCUUGUUAGGCCUUUUAAAAAUCAAACAGUGUCAAAAGAGUUGAUAUUUCCAAAAAUACCAUCAACCAAGUUCAGGAAACACCAAGACGUACAUAUACAGACAACAAGAACUGCUUACAUAGUCCACUAAGAAAUGGGUUUUUGUGAAUGUGUGUAUGAGAGAGGGAGAGAGAGAGAGAGCGCUUUUGAGAAAUUUAAAUUAUGAGUAUCAAGUCAAGUAUUUAGAUGAAGUAACAGCAUUCUGAUAGCACAAGAGGAGGAAUUUUUAUACUGCUGAAUUAUUUCCUUGCCAAAUAGCUAGACAGAUUCCUUAGCUUCAUUAUUGGUGCUCUAGGAAAGAAAAUUUCCUUUUAGAAGCUUCACAUGUUUUUGAUUUUUGGUUUUGGAAGCUUCAAUGACCUGGGGUUUUUGGAUUUUCAUUUUCUUUAUUUAUUUGUUUUAUAUUUUUAAGUAAUAUAUCAUACAUUUCUAUUGCUUGGAUUUGGAUUUCAAACUUAGAAAAUUUGAUAGGUCUGCAAAGCUUCUUUGUCUUUCCUGUUGGGAUUUACAAUUUUGAACUAUUGAUGUAUUCCAAAUAUGGUUACCCUUGUUAUUAUCUUGUUCAUUUACCGAUAUUAGAAAUAUAGUUAUUUUUGAAAAACAAAAAAUGAUUAAGAUUGGUUAGCUCGAGCUUAUAUUUAAAUAUAACAUUUGCAUUAUAGUUCUUUUUAUUCCUACCAUCAAAUAAAAAUUAGGUAGUUUAAUUGUGAUUUUUGUUAAGAUUUCAACUCAAUGGUGCUCCCUUUGAGCCAAAAUUCUGGCAUCGCCACUGGACUUGGUAGUCAAAUCCUUUUUGUGUUCUCUUUAGCUGUUGAUAAAAUGUUAAUAGUCUUCUUGGAAGUGCAACUCUUCACGAGCCAUUUGAAGUCGACACAUCUAAUCCUCCCGCGGAUUAUAGGUAAUCAAAGAUGAUCACAAAAUAGGAUUCACUACUCAAUACAUCUGAUAAUCUUCAAUCAGUGAACUCAAUUGAAGAUUCACAACCAGAAAAUUUCGAUCAGGAAGCUCACAGGUUUAUCUGCCCUCUUCAAAUUGCCACCUUGAAGCGUGUCAUUGAGUCAACAUUGAAGUUUCUUUUAUGUUCGAACAGGCCAUUUUCUAUUUGGGAUCGAUUGGGUUGCUUGGAGAGUAUUGUCCUAUGUCAAGUAAAAACUCACCAUUGCCAGAAAGAAUUGACUGUAUGCAUCACGGGUCAUUUCAGGAAUACCCACAAUUUUGUGGUUGCAGCUGGGUGCAGCAUUCCUUGACUACAGAGGAGGAUCUCUCUUUUCAUGCCGAAAAAUCAUUAGAAGACUUCUACAUGCUGAAAUACUGCAUAUCCUAAAACAGAGGUCUUGAUUAUAAAAAGUCAGAUGGCUCAACUGAGAUGUGCAACGGGUGGUUUUGUUUCGGAUGUGGAUGUGAGGGACAAACUCACAGCCUUCAUUUUGAAGAACCCACCCGAACCAAAGAAAUGUUCCAAAGACAAGAAGGCAAUGCGGAGGGCUGAAAAGGAGUGACUGAAGGAAGGUGAGGCUGCUGAUGAAGAUCAGAAGAAGCUGAAGAAGGAAGUGAAGAAGAAGGGGUCUUCCAAUUUCAAGGAUGGGCCUGCAAAAGUCAACUACAACAAAAAGAAAGCCAGUGGUUCUGAUGAGGAUCAAAGUUCACCAAUUAUAAGUCAGGUUGAUGAGAAAGAAGAGACGGACAAUGAUAAUGACGACAAUGUGCAGUGGCAGACCAACACGUCACUGGAGGCAGCCCGCCAACGCAUCGAAAAGCAAUUGAGAUAACCAUUCCCAUCUUUUUCUGGUAGUGAUAAAUGACAGCAGGUAUAUAGUGCUUGAUCCUGAGACACUUCAACUGAGACCGGGAUUGAAAAAUCAAGUACACGGUCGAGGGUGAAGAGGAAAGUUUAGCGAACAAGCUUCACUUGCUAUAGAAAUGUUGAUCAAUGGAUGGAUCAAUACUGAUUCUGUGAACUUGUUUUUGCUAGUGGUGCAUUCAAUUUUUAUGUGUGGAUCAUCCAUGUUCAAUGCAAGUGCUGGAAUACUUUUGAAGUAUAUCUCAUCUGUGGUCAAGAGCACAUGGAAGGCUUUAAUUCUUAAACAACACAGUGGUAAUUCUUUACCAAAUUUUGGUUCCAUAUGAUCUUUUAUUUAGAACUAAAAGACGAAAGAGAAAGAUGAGAAAAUUCUACAUUCUCUAAUAUGUGAAAUAUGAUAUUCUUUUCAUCACCUUAAUGUUUACAAAUUUGAUUCUAAGUCUUUGUUACUUGAA